GACGAACGCUGGCGGCGUGCUUAACACAUGCAAGUCGAACGGAAAGGCCCUGCUUGCGGGGUACUCGAGUGGCGAACGGGUGAGUAACACGUGGGUGAUCUGCCCUGCACUUCGGGAUAAGCCUGGGAAACUGGGUCUAAUACCGGAUAGGAGCCAUCCUUAGUGUGAGGGUUGGAAAGUUUUUUCGGUGUAGGUUGAGCGCGCGGCCUAUUAGCUUGUUGGUGGGGUAAUGGCCUACCAAGGCGGCGACGGGUAGCCGGCCUGAGGGGGUGGACGGCCAACUUGGGACCUGGAGUCGGCCCCGGCUCCUACGGGAGGCAGCAGGGGGGAAUAUUGCACAAUGGGCGCGAGCCUGAUGCAGCGACGCCGCGUGGGGGAUGACGGCCUUCGGGUUGUAAACUCCUUUCGCUAGGGACGAAGCUUUUUGUGACGGUACCUAGAUAAGAAGCACCGGCUAACUACGUG
rnacentral:rRNA from 1 species